CUGGCCUGGGUGCGGCUGCAGGAGGCUGGAGCUGGAGCUUCGUCGGAGGCUGCGGCGAUCUGGUCUCCAGCAGGGCGGUGCCUCCUCUGCGCCCUCCCCUCCUCCUUCCUCUGUGGGGUUGGCACCCAGGGCCCAUCUGCUCAGCACCCCAGGCCUCCUUCAGAAUCGCCACUAACUUAUGUCACCUUCUGACACAGGAUGGUGCUAGGCUGUGCUGACCGGCCUCCUACUUCAGGCCCCUACUGCUGGCAGGACAGUGCUGCGCCACCCGGCCUGGCUUGGGUGAGGAGGCUCUGACGUCUUUCUUCACACAGAAGUCUCCAGCAAAGAGCAGAAGAGGCCUCCGCUCCACCCUGGCGAAGCCCUGUGGAGACAAGUGAAAACAGUGGGAAAAACGUCUCCGUGGAGCUGUUUACGUAACUCAGAUCCAGCCGGCAGCGGCAGCGCUGAGCUCCUCCCGGAAGCCAGGCCGAGGGCGGCUCCCUCAUGAGGUGGAGAGGAGGUUGCUCCAAACAACCACCUAACCCUUGGACACAGCACUGCUCCCCAGCAGGACGCCCUGACUGUGCUGCCCUCUGGGAGGGAGGUGUGCUAUGCCGGCCCUGGAAGCCAGUGGGGGGAGCCAGAGCGUGGUGCCUGCUCUCUCAGAAGCCCAGCAAUUUCAGCCUCGGGCGAGGAGGCAGGGCCUUGCCUUCCGGAAGCAUCAGGCGGUUAUCGAGGGGUCUGUGUGGAAAAUGCAUAAGCCGGGCCUGGUGACCGAGGCAGCAGGAGCCAGAAGUUCAAAGACCCGGCUGGAGAGGCUGCUCAAGUGAAGGCUUGCAAAGCAAGCAGAGGGCCCGAGUUCAGUACCUGCAGUGAGCCCACACAUGGGGAUGGGGGUGGGGGGAGAGGGAAGCCAGCAACGGUGCUGCAUGCGACCUCAGCAGCAGGACACGGAGGCCGGAAGACCCCUGUCGCCUAGAAAGCCCAGCCUCCUUAUGGUUUCAGGCCACUGAGAGGCUUGGCUUCAAAAACCAAGCUAGGCAGCUCUAGAAAACGUCUGUGUCUUCCGGCCGCCAUGUGCAUGUUCCCACAUGUGCACGCAGAC